rnacentral:snRNA from 16 species
UUCUUACACCUAGUGUGAACCGGGCCUUGUUGAAGACCCUAAGCACAAUUUUUGCAGCCCUGUCCUUCUUUGGUCAGGGUA